GUGCACUUGAUACUUACCUAGAUAUCUGCUCUGGUUCAUCUCCAGGGUAUCCGUGGUAUCUGGGUCCUAGAAGUGCUAUAGUAAAUGCCGUAAGAAUUUAAGCUCAGUGUGUGGAGUGACACUCUGGGUUAUAACUUAUUGUACAGAU